AGUGAACGCUGGCGGCGUGCCUAAUACAUGCAAGUCGAACGAACGCACGAUAAGCGUUCGCUUCUGACGUUGGCGGCGGGCGGGUGAGUGAGGCAUGGAUAACCUUCUUAUAAUACUUGGGGAACUUCGGGGAAACGGAGCUAAUACUGGCGCAUAUAUUGAACGGCAUGAAUCAGUAGUGAUAGACAGCUUUCCUGUUACAUAUAGAUGGAGCCGGACCGGAUUAGCUAGUUGGUAAGGUAACGGCUUACCAAGGCAACGAUCCGUAGCUGAGCUGAGAGGGUGAUCGGCCACACUGGAACUGAGACACGGUCCAGACUCCUACGGGAGGCAGCAGUAGGGAAUAUUGGGCAAUGGGCGAAAGCCUGACGCAGCCAUACCGCGUGAGUGAUGAAGGUCUUCGGAUCGUAAAACUCUGUUAUUAGGAAAGAAAAGAAGUAGAAGAAUACCCCGCUGUUCUGACGGUACCCAAUGAGUAAGCCACGGCUAACUUCGUG
rnacentral:rRNA from 1 species